UAUUUAAAUUUUUUCAUCUGAACUCAAGUAAUAUUUUCACAGGUACAUGGACAAGAUCUGUCUUUCUGUGGCUCUCAGGAAGGCAAAACCCCCAGGAUCAGCUCCAGAGCACGCAGGGAAAACACAAAACAAUGUUAGCCAGCUGAAGCAGAAAACCAAGGAACCCCAUGUAACAGAGGGCAAAUAAAACAGUUCAGUCCACACAAGGAGCUCCUGGUACAACCAGGGAGUGUCUUAUGGCUGGACUGGCGUGCUCAAGGGACACUUCACCACUCAGCUGGUCCCAUCAAGGUUCAUCAGGAGCUUCUGAGAUCACAGAGCUGGCCCAAGGAUGAGGAGGAUGGCAGAAGCAGCACCACAACAAUCCAGAAGCACGUCACUGAAGUGGACAAAAAGUAGGAAGAAAUUCAUCCUGGCAAGCAACAAGUUGUCAAGUCAUGAGCUGUGGCUCCAGGGAUUCAGACUGGAUAUUGGGAAGAAAGCCAGACAGGACACAAAAGAGAAGAAAAGGUUACUGAGGUCACACCUGGCUACAGAAAUGCUGUUAGAGAGAGAAGCAAGUGAAAGACAACUUGCUGUGUGUACAGAAGCAUAGAAGGAUGUCCUCAUGGCUUAAUUAAAAUUAAUUAGCUAAGAUUAAUUAGAAAUAUUACACCACUAAGAUUAAGAAUAAAAUUAAGAAGACAAAUUCUCA
ensembl:lncRNA